rnacentral:rRNA from 1 species
CCUACGGGAGACAGCAGUGAGGAAUAUUGGUCAAUGGGCGUAAGCCUGAACCAGCCAAGUCGCGUGAGGGAUGAAGGUCCUAUGGAUUGUAAACCUCUUUUAUAAGGGAAUAAAGUGUGGGACGUGUCCUGUUUUGUGUGUACCUUAUGAAUAAGGAUCGGCUAACUCCGUGCCAGCAGCCGCGGUAAUACGGAGGAUGCGAGCGUUAUCCGGAUUUAUUGGGUUUAAAGGGUGCGUAGGCGGAUGGUUAAGUCAGUGGUAAAAUUGAGGGGCUCAACCCCUUCCCGCCAUUGAAACUGGCGUUCUUGAGUGGGAGAGAAGUAUGCGGAAUGCGUGGUGUAGCGGUGAAAUGCAUAGAUAUCACGCAGAACCCCGAUUGCGAAGGCAGCAUGCCGGCGUUCAACUGACGCUGAAGCACGAAAGCGUGGGGAUCGAACAGGAUUAGAUACCCGAGUAGUC